CUCUCCGCGCUCACGCACGGCGCAUGCGUCCUGGCAGGGUCUCGCGGGCGCUGACCGGUCUUCGCCGCGUCCCGUCUGUGAACGUCGCCGCCGCCAGCCGUCCGCGGCCCCCUGCCCGGAAAUCUCGGAGAGCGGAGCUGCGAUCGAAACCUAACUGCAAGAAGCCGAGAGUGCCGGAGAAGCCCGGCCGUGGCCCGGGAGGGACUCGCUUCUUCAAGACUCGCAAGCGCUGUGGAGACAGAAAGACUGGCAGGCAGUGACCGGUGGGGCGGCUCUUAGGCCGAGCUCCCGGUUUCUCGGGACUGGGGACUCGGCCACUUCGCUCCCUUCUGUCUGGACUCUGCCUCCGGGGUGCUGGCUCCGGGCCUUCCACCGUGUCCCGGGGCUGUGGACAGGACGCCUAGGCGGCUGGAGGCUGCGGAGUUUUACAGCACAGGAGCCGGGACGUAGCGUGUUAGGAGUGUGGCCUUUGACGUCAGCGCUGGGGCGAAGUCACAUCCCAGCCCUGUGACCUCUUGAAGCCUGAGUUGCCCCGUUGGUAAAGCGGGGUGGGUGGUUCCAGAUUCAGCGUCUCUUCCAGCUUGACGCAGAGCUUGGGAGAUGAAUGACCCGGCGUGUAAGAUGCACCCCUGGGAUCGACGGCAGCAGCUCCCGCGGCCUCUGUUGCACACCAUCUACAGAUAAUAAUUCUCCAAACCGCGUGGUAGGAAGACCUGGGCCGCAGAAGUUAAGCGGUAUUCGGUUUAUCAUCAGCCCUAGGUUUUUUUUUCCGGUUUUAGAGUAAGUUCCUACCUGCACUAAAAGUAGGAUGCGCCUACCGCCAUCCUCAUUUGUAGAACUGCAGGGAAAAAAUUUAAGUUACUUAUGAGUUCUGUACAGCCCUGUCCCUUUCUAGUCAAGUACCUGUUGGAUAUUUCUACUUGUUUUCUCAAACUUCUUUUUAUCUUGACUUUAUACAAAAUAGUGCUUGUGGAGUUUUUUUAAAUGUACAAAAGCUUACCAAAAGCACAAGUUACUGUUUUUCCCUCAGACCCACUCCUCACAGGUAACCCCUGUUAGUAAGUUUCUUGGAUACCUUAAAAUGCUUAGCAAAUAUUUUCUGAAUGCAUAAAUGUCCUUCAGUGAAUUUUCUUUGCCUGUGCAAUCACAUGUGUAUGUAAGUUGCCUUUUCUCUUUAACAACAUACUUAAACCUUCUGUCAUUUCACAGCUGCGGGGUACUGGCACUCCAUCAUAUGGUGGUAUUUAACCACUCUGCUGUUGAUAGGCAUUCAUGUUUAUAAUUUCUUGUUAUUAUAAACAGUGUUGCAGGGAAGAUCCUUGAACAGCACAUGGAGUGUCUGACUCAAGCUCUGAGUUGUUUUUCCAGGAGCUGAGAAUCAGCCUGGUGAUGGCAAAAGAAUAUGGACUUGGGAUCCAAAGACUCGAGCACACAUGCCCAAGGCAGCCUCCUGAUAUCAGGGCUGUAGGAUACUUCGAAGAAGUAGAACAGAAUUGGCCAUUAUGAAGACCAGACUCCUGACUUGCCUGCCUUCUGGAAAGCAAUAGGCAUUAAUUCCUUCAUUUAUUCAAGUAGCCAUUUAAUGAGUACUCACUAUUUAUUAUGUGCCACAGACUAUAGGAUAGAGCUUUUCCCAUCCAGGAACUUUCAGUCUCAUCAGAGAUAAGACACACUCAUGAGAAAUAAAAUAUACAAGACAAUACAAGAGAGGAAAUAGCUGUCAAGCAGCCUAGACUUCAGAGGAGAGCUAUCACUUUCAGCUAGAAUGAUGGGGAAAGGAUUUCAUCAUAAAGAUUUCAUGAUGGAAUUGGAAUUUAGAGAGCUGUGAAUGGCAGGUGUAUUUAGAUAGCUGCUGUCACAGCCGUAAGGAUCAUCUAUUUUAGCUUUGGGGGAGAAUCCCCUGCAGGCCAGGAUGUGUGCCUGGCUCCCAAAAAUGAAACUGUGAGCACAUUUUCCUCUAGAAGCAUUGUUUUAAAUUAUCUAAACUACAAUUCAGUGACUGGAGCUAUGUUAUGGUAGCUAGAUUAUAAAGUCUAUAUUUAGAAAUAGACAUAAACUUUUGUGAUCUGAGUUAAGUAGCAGUAUGUGCCACUGAUGGAAAACUUUGUUCCACUGUUCUGAACAGCCAGCUUACAGAUGAGCUUUGCAGUACCACCUGUUCAUACAUUAGAAACUACAAUAGGGAGGCAUUGAAAGUUCUUGAGCAGAGGAGCAAUAUCAAAAUCUUUUGGGGAAAGUUAUCUGGUGCAAGCAUGCAGGACGGAUUUCAGCUGCAGAGCUUUAAAGGUUACUGCCGAACCCCAGGUGUGAGGUAACAGCAGGAAGAGACAGAUGCAAAAGAUAGUAUGCAAAAGAUAUCGACCAAAUUAGUGUUUUUUAAAAAAUCACAUAGGGAAUUCCCUGGUGGUCCAGUGGUUAGGACUCUGCACUUCCACUGCAUGGGCCCGGGUUUGACCCCUGGUCAGGGAACUAAGAUCCCACGAGCCACGUGGCACAGCCAAAAAAUAAAAUAAAAAUCACAAAAUUUACCUGACAACUGGAUUCCUUUGCUAAUUCAGUAAGUAUUGUGUGCCUACUAGGUGCCAGGCACUGAGGAGGCAACAGGAGCAAAACAAAGCCCCACCCUCAGGGAGCUUAUGGUACAAUUGGGGAAGAUGAGUCAACGUACAUUUGAGGGCUUACUGUGUGCCAGGCACUGACGGAGGAGCUGGAGAUGUAGCAGUAAAUAAAGCUUUAAAAUCCCUGCUUCUGUGGAGCUUACAUUCUGAGAAUGCAAAUAAUACGUGUUAAAAGGAAAAACCAAGGAGUAAGGGGGACAGGAGUGUACACAGGUUUACAGAACAGAAAGUGAUGGCGUGGAGGGGUGGGUAUAUACUGUUCAUUCAAUAAGUUUGGUUGUGAAUGAAAAGAGAGAUGGAGUGGCUGGUGAGAACAGUGGGGUGAAUAAUGUAUUUUUCAGGAUAGCGUAGGUAGAGGAUUGGCAGCCAGUGAACAGUAAGGACUGAGCAGUAAGGGUGGAAGGAAGAUGGGUUAGGAGCACUUUAAAAAGCUCAACUGGCAAAGAGGAGAGUAAAGAAGUGUGGUGUCAGAGGCUGAGGGUAAAGGAGAGGGACCCUCACGCCUGAGGUGCCUCAGGGUAGCAGUAGGAGAGACCGAGGGCCAGUGCGGCGGAGGCCUGCAGGGACCUGUGAAAUCCACAACUCAGACUGGUCAGCAAUGGACUCUAUAGUUGCUGAAAUAGGUAUCGAAGGAGGAAGCAUAUGCUGCAAUCAUGUAAUGGGGGAAUUGGGUGUAAACAAGAAUUGAGAGGGCAGGUAUGCUGAAUGUAUGUCGGACUUCAAAUGAGGAGUGGGAUGGGGCACCGUCCAACAUGCUGGUCCAAGAGGGAAGGACUAAAGGGAACCAUCUGGUCUCUCCCUUUGAUGGGACUGGGAAUUGGCCCUUUACCCCUCACCUGCAUGCCUGAGGCCAUAUCAAGAGACUUGGCAAUCACCUUGCCCUGCCCUUUGGUAGCCCCCCCAAAUCAAGUGACCAUGAAGUUCCUUGAUCGCAGGGACCAUCCUGAUAUCCACUGGGGACUAGCACAUGGUAGGCACUUGGUUUCUGUUCAGUUAAAGUGAAACCGCACAUAGAAUUUAAAGAGUUAGAAGGAACAUCAGAAAUAAUCCGGUUAAAAAAAA